rnacentral:rRNA from 1 species
GAUGAACGCUGGCGGCGUGCCUAAUACAUGCAAGUCGAGCGAACAGACGAGGAGCUUGCUCCUCUGACGUUAGCGGCGGACGGGUGAGUAACACGUGGAUAACCUACCUAUAAGACUGGGAUAACUUCGGGAAACCGGAGCUAAUACCGGAUAAUAUAUUGAACCGCAUGGUUCAAUAGUGAAAGACGGUUUUGCUGUCACUUAUAGAUGGAUCCGCGCCGCAUUAACUAGUUGGUAAGGUAACGGCUUACCAAGGCAACGAUGCGUAGACGACCUGAGAGGGUGAUCGGCCACACUGGAUCUGAGACACGGUCCAGACUCCUACGGGAGGCCGCAGUACGGAAUCUUCCGGGAUGGGCGAAAGCCUAACGGUGCAACGCCGGGUGAGUCAUGAAGGUCUUCGGAUCGUAGAACUCUGUUAUUAGGGAAGAAGAAAUGUGUAAGUACCUGUGAACGUCUUGACGGUACCUAAACAGAAAGCCACGGCUAACUACGUG